CAGGCCUCUUCCCAGUAAAACUUUCUAUGUGAAGAGGGCUUUGUAAAUCUGAGAUGUCUGGACUUCAUCCUGGAAGCACAGACCUGUCAAAGAACCUAGAAGAAAAAAAGAGAAAAGUUUUUGCCCCUUCAACGUAUGUACCACAUAUUGUUAUCCAUGCAUUCAUUGAUGAAGAGUUGGGUUGCUUCCACGUUUUGGCUAUUUGAGAAGAAUACUGCUGUGAAUGAAAUCCAUGCUGUAAGGCAUCAGUUUUGAAGCUGAAUUUGGGAGGGAAAGGCUGGGGGUAGAAUGACAUUCCCUGGUUAGAGGUGGCAAAACCUCAAUUUCAGGUUGUUGGGAAUGGAAGAAGAAGACUGUAGGUAAGCAAUUGACAAGAACUUGGUGCCUAGUUGACCAUAAGAAAAGGUGGAGUUUGCAAUCUGGAUGGUUCCCUUUUAAGGUAUCUCCAGACUUUGGGAUGCCUGAGGCUUAUCCAAGUUUAGGGUCAUCCUUGAGAGAAAAAGAACAAAAAACAAUGAAUAAAAAGUGGAGUGCGGGGUUCUGAAAAGGGUCUUGGGGUGUGAGGGGCUCUUAUACAUCUGCGGGAGAGGCACAUGCGCAAUGGGCAUCAUUUUAUUUGGCCUGCCAGCAUCGUUUUCUUUUGGAGCUAUGCAUCUUUCCUCUCUCAGCUCCUGUGGUGCCAAGGAAGUUGUCUACUCACCUCCCACACAGUCUCAGGAGUGUGACCUACACCUGCCAAUCAGAGCUGUGAUUGCUGUGGAGGUGGGCAGGUGACCCAAAUCAGGCCAGCAAGACUCAGUCCUGGAACUUUAGCUGGAAUUGUUGGGAAACAGUUCACUUUUCUGUUAUGUUCUCUUUUUCUGUUGUGGUUGAUGAGCGAUCAGGAUGUAAGCCUAGACCUUCUGAACCUCCGGCGGUGAAUUUGACAUAAAGGGAGAAAAAUCAACAGAAGGAAAGAAGAAUGUGAAAAUACUGCCUUGUGAUACUUUUGACUGAGUCCCUGAAUCCAGGCAUGCCUAAAGCUAGAUCUACUCUAGCAUGUUCUGUCACAGGAAAUAAUUGAGCCCAUUUUUUGUCUAAGUUAUAGUUAGUUUUCUGUUGUAGCCAAAAUACUCAGCUUCCAUAUCUUUUCAUUAAAAAGCAAUCCAUCAGGCCCCACUAGGGUCAAAUGCCUCCUUGAACCUAAUAAAUAUGCCUAGGGAAUAGGGUAAACCCUUUAAAAAGUCUGCCACAUGUCUGCCGCUGGUGGGGAAGGAGGAGACUGUGUGAUUGAUAAACCGACAGUAUCACAGGGAGGAGUGGUGGGCACUCUCCAAAAGGAGAUGUGCAGGGUAUCUAAAAAGAAAAAAAAAUACAUAAAUAAGGGAGCAGAUAUGCCUUGGAAGAGUGAUUUCUGAUUCUUGAGGGAUCUAGGAAAUUGGUUUGCCCCAAAUCAUCCUAAAGCAAGCCUGCUUUCAAAUUUCAGCUCUAUUUUAUAUUAAUCAUCUGCUUUUGGCCAAGUUGUGUAAUCUUUCUCACUGAAUCCUAGUUUCUGACGGUAAAAAUGGGAAUAGAUAGUAUCUAUCAGUACAGGGUUGUUUGUGAGUGAUGCUUGUAAGUGAGGUGACCAUGUGGAGAACUACACAGGGACAAUCUUGAAAGUGAAAAGGAACACAAUUAAGGAGACUUAUUAGGACUGUCUGAGACAAAAAUUAUUAGCAAAACCCCCCUUUCAUUCUCAAGUGUCCCUAUCCUGUGCUAAAUUAUAUGGUCUUGCUGCCCAUAAUGCACCUCUGAUAGUGCUUAACACACAGUAGGUGCUUAAAAGUCUCAGCCUCCUUUGAGCCUUCGCGGGUCCCUCUGUCUUAAACAUAACUGACUGAUUCUUUCAUAGUUCUUUGUAAUUCUCUAACUUUGUGGAUUUACAAAGUGUAUUCUUGAAGAUGUUUGUUACUAUUGCCCUGGUGGCAAGAUACAUGACAAUAUGAUUCACAGAUUCAUAUCUGUGAAAGAUGCCUUUCUUACAAUUCCCCACCAACUGCUUUUAA